rnacentral:rRNA from 1 species
GCAAUCGGCCAUACCAUCCUGAACACGCCCGAUCUCGUCUGAUCUCGGAAGCUAAGCAGGGUCGGGCCUGGUUAGUACUUGGAUGGGAGACCGCCUGGGAAUACCAGGUGCUGUAAGCU